AACACUGAUACAGGGCCAGCUUCCUCCAAUAACAACACUGAUACAGGGCCAGCUUCCUCCAAUAACAACACUGACACAGGACCAGCUUCCUCCAAUAACAACACUGAAAUAUUUUCCUCCAAUAACAACACUGAUACAGGGCCAGCUUCCUCCAAUAACAACACUGAUACAGGGCCAGCUUCUUCCAAUAACAACACUGAUACAGGGAAGCUGGCCCUGUAUCAGUGUUGUUAUUGGGGGAAGCUGGCCCUGUAUCAGUGUUGUUAUUGGGGGAACACGUAUCAGUGUUGUUAUUGAGGGAAGCUGGCCCUGUAUCAGUGUUGUUAUUUGGGGAAACAGGCCCUCUAUCAAUGUUGUUAUUUGGGGGGUAGCACUAUUCACUAUCCAGAGGAAGGAGGGGUGGGGGGGUCAUAGGUCAUAGGUCAUGUUAUCAUACAGUUAGAGGAACUGAGAAGAAAAGGUGCUGUGUGCAGAAGUUGCACUAUAACUACUUUAGAAAUAUAAAUGUCUUUGUAAAUAAAUACACGCAUAAAUAAAUAAAUUAUCAUGUUGUUAAAUAUAUAAAUAUAACCUCAACUUAAUAAAAUAAAAAAAAUCUGACUCAGAUAUUAAUUAAGAUUCAAUUUGGAGGAUUUUCACAUGUGAACAUGUGGUGAACAGGUGAACAUGUGAACGUUUGAUCGAUGCCAACCCUCAUCUCGUCGCCGGGCUGUGGAUGCAUCCCAAUUGGCACACGAUUGUCUGCAUAGUUCACUGCAUUUGACCAGAGCAACUAUGAAAGAGACCAUGGGCCCAAAUAAAAAAAUAAUGCACUAUAUAGGUAAUAGAUUGCAUUUAUUAUUUUUUUUUAACCUUUAUUUAACUUGGGACGCACCCUGUGUGUGUUAACGUCUCAAGACAUAUCAGGGGGAAUACGGAGAUUAGAUAGCGUCCUUGAGGAGCUAUUCAUGAGGAGCUAUUCUGUCCUUUCCAACAGAACUGAGCUGGUAUGGAAAGAUACAAGGGACAGAACAGGUACUACAGCAAACCACUGUCAACUGUCGUUAUUCACUCCUAAGGGACAGAACAGGUACUACACCCAACCACUGUCAACUGUUGUUAUUCACUCCUAAGGAACAGAACAGAUACUACACUCAACCACUGUCAACUGUUGUUAUUCACUCCUAAGGGACAGAACAGGUACUACAGCCAACCACUGUCAACUGUUGUUAUUCACUCCUAAGGGACAGAACAGGUACUACACCCAACGACUGUCAACUGUCGUUAUUCACUCCUAAGGGACAGAACAGGUACUACACUCAACCACUGUCAACUGUCGUUAUUCACUCCUAAGGGACAGAACAGAUACUACACUCAACCACUGUCAACUGUCGUUAUUCACUCCUAAGGGACAGAACAGGUACUACACUCAACCACUGUCAACUGUCGUUAUUCACUCCUAAGGGACAGAACAGAUACUACACUCAACCACUGUCAACUGUCGUUAUUCACUCCUAAGGGACAGAACAGGUACUACACCCAACCACUGUCAACUGUCGUUAUUCACUCCUAAGGGACAGAACA
rnacentral:lncRNA from 13 species